AUGGAGUCUUUCCUCUUGAAUGACAUCGGCUCCAUGACAUGCAACAAAGCCAUCGAGAGAAUCAUCUCAGCGAUGACUGUUCAGCUUUGUCAUCUGAUCCUCUCAAUGGAGAAAAAAGGCAUGGAGAAUGAAGUGUUUGCCUCUUUGGAGAAAACGGCAGAGGAGCUGGUUCAAGCUAGUGAAGGGUUUGUGCAAGUUGCCCAAAGGCUUCUUCCUUGGGCUUGUGUUGGCCAGCCUUCAUUCCAAGUGGAAGAUACACCCCCUGAGUUUACAACUCAGGAACAGAAGAGCUGAGUGUCUCUAAAGCACUGGCGAAGUUUACAAGCCAAAAAUCACGCCUGUUUGAAGAACUGCCUGGAGAAGAAUUCUAAAUCUCUGAUGCUUCAUCUUGAGGGUCUGAUGGAGGAUAUGUUGCCAACCGUUUGCAUGAUAAACAGCUGAUUACCAUAAUUCAGAACCCCCUGCAUUCUAGGUCAGGAGUGACUUCUAAAGACUUAAAAAGAAGGCUUAAGAUGUAAGAGAAGGAAACACCAACUUCCUCCCAUCAUCUGUCUUGGGUUGAAGGUAAUAAACAUUUAUAAAUUUG
ensembl:lncRNA